rnacentral:rRNA from 1 species
UCGAGAAUAGUCUACAAUGGUCGAAAGACUGAUAGUGCGACGCCGCGUGAACGAAGAAGCCCUUCGGGGUGUAAAGUUCUUUUAUAUGUGAGCAAUGCCAGAUAGGUGAAUAGUCUGUUUGGAGCGAUAUUAGCAUAUGAAUAAGCAACGGCUAACUCCGUGACAGCAGCCGCGGUAACACGGGGGUUGCAAGCGUUGUCCGGAAUUACUAGGCGUAAAGGGCAGGUAGGCGGAUCUAUAGGUUUAAUGUUUAAGGCAACGGCUCACCCGUUGUACGGCAUUAGAUACUGGAGAUCUGGAAUACGGUUGGGGAAGACAGAAUUCCUGGUGUAGCGGGGGAAUGCGCAGGGAUCAGGAGGAAUACCGAAGGCGAAGGCAGUCUUCUAAGCCGUUAUUGACGCUAAACUGCGAAGGUGUGGGUAUCAAACA